rnacentral:rRNA from 1 species
CACGUAGGGCGCAAGCGUUGUCCGGAAUUAUUGGGCGUAAAGAGCUCGUAGGCGGACUGUCACGUCUGCUGUGAAAAGCUAGGGCUUAACCCUGGCCUUGCAGUGGAUACGGGCAGACUAGAGGUAGGUAGGGGAGAAUGGAAUUCCCGGUGUAGCGGUGAAAUGCGCAGAUAUCGGGAGGAACACCGGUGGCGAAGGCGGUUUUCUGGGCCUGACCUGACGCUGAGGAGCGAAAGCGUGGGGAGCGAACAGG